rnacentral:lncRNA from 1 species
AUUAAAAAAAAUAAAAUGUGAAGCUUAAUCCAAGCUGUGUCGAAGCACGCAUUUGUUUAGGCACAUUUGACUUGGACGGCCAAAGUCUUCCUGAGAUGGGUACAUGCGUCAUUUUGGUCACUGAAAUGAAUGCUAUCUAGUGGGAUUUGGCAGCUGGGCUUCCCCAAGCAAUACUUCUCGACAACUUGCUUGGAUUCUGGCGCUGUACAAUUUCCAAUAAAGUAGGCUCCGCAAGCGCCAAAUGGAUCACCAUAGCUGGCAAACUCCACUGCCACAAUUUGCUUCUUGCCUGGACAUAUUAAUUCAGCCUUUGGUUUCAAAUCAUUCACUUUGGGUUGGAGACUACCAUUUUUGGUUUCGAACAAUCUCGGGGAUGGUGGGUGAAUUUCACUCACAGCACUGCAGAUUGUAUCCCUGUUCACUGUUACUAUAUGGACAUCUUUAGGAUUGCCUUCUUCUUCCUCAAGGAGGACAAUCAGGUUCUUUGGCUUCAAGUAUGCCCGUGGGAUGUGGUACCUGCAUUACAUGAAUUUUAGCUUCUUUCUAGUUUACAAUUUAUAUCGGUUAAAAGACUGUUUCAGCGUUUAUAGUGUACAUACUCGGAUUGUGUUGGCUUCUUAAGAGGACUAAGGUAAUUGUUCCAAUAUCGGCCAAUGCUUCUACCAUUGAUCCAAACCAUACCCUUCCCCAUACCAGUCAUAACAAUGGCAACUGGGUUGUCCCCUUCUGGUGCAUCAAAAUAUCCCUUGUACCAUGUUAAUGGUCCUCCUUGGUCAGGCUUUGUCCACUGAACAGACUUUGAGCCUUCUUCAGUAAACAAUUUCUUCUUUUCUCCAUCAAUUCCAACCUGAAAGGGGAUUCCAAAUUACGUUUAAGAAGCCAUCUCCACCACUAAACUAUUACUUGAGAUUUAUUAUAGAAAGUGACAAGUCCAGUGGGUACCUGAUGGCCCCAACCAUUUUGUGAUAUGUCGAGUGUUCCAGUGUUCAAACCAAGGAUGGUGAUAGAACGAGGCCCAGCAAACCUUUUCUCCAUGUAGGCUCCGCUAUCCUGGAUUAGCAAACAAAAUCACAUGUUAAUUGAUUUUAUAAAUUUCAUUUUAAGCGUAACAAAGUGCUUUAAGUUGCAGAAGCCUUACGGGGAGUCCCACUAAGUAGCCUAAGAGAGCAAUAUGGUUUUCCCCUUCCUUCAAGCUUACAGCUCUCUGGAAAACAAAGCUCUUCUCAAUUUUGCUCCCAUGUGCAGAACCGGCGUAUUCACCAUUUACAUAGGCAUGGAUUCCAUGGCCAAGACUUGCAACCCGUAAAACUGGGCUGACAUUUUUCUUCAUUGGUAAAUCACGUCGACCCAACUUAAGGCUGCAGGCAGAAACUCAUAGUUCAAUAUCCUUUCUAUGUGUAACAGGUGAAAAUCAAGGUGUUCAUUUAAGUUUCAACUCACCUAGUUGUGUACCAAGCAUAGUCGGUUGUAUCUUUGGUCAAAUGAAAAAGCUCCCUUGGCACGUCAAACUUAAAUCCAAGUCCGACAGGAGGGACUUCCCUGUACAUCUCCCAGUUAAAAUUCUUGUUUGCAAUUUCUGAUCUUACAAAGUUUCUUGAGUUAUGUUGAGUUGUGACCUGAGUUAAAAAAAUCAAUGGUAAGUUAAUUCACAGGUUGUAAAACACAAUGGGGCAGCUUAUGUGAGCUUGUAGAAUUGGAGAUACCAGUUGAGUGUUGAAAACCACGGUCUUGCAAUCAGGGAGGACGCUAAUGGAACGAGCCGGCAGGCGAAUGUCCUGGCCCCUGAAAUUCACAUGUUGUGCCAGACGAGUGUUAUUGUUGGCCAAGAAAGCCGCACAGGCUGAAGUUCCAGGUUGUUGCCAGACUAUAGCCUGCAAUAUCGCGAUACAUUAACUUAAUUCCCUAGUAGACUAACCAAUAUCUAUUUACCCAAAUAUCCAAUUCGAUUACUCCAUAUAGUUGCAUUGCUUACCUGUUGAUCUGGACCCAACUUUAGAGUAGUAGGAACCCCCCAAAAUAGAGCCCUUUUGCACAAACUCAAGGCCCUGUGGACGUCCUUAAGAUGACCCCACUUUGGUUCCCUUUGAAGACCUAAAGCAUUAAAAUGUGAAAGUUAGCUGCAUACACAACUUCAAUCCAUAGAUCAUCAGAUAACAUGUUCUUAAUCCUACCAAAUUCAUCAAGAGGGGCUUCGUCAUAGUAACGAGUUGUUGUAAAUGAGGCACUUGUCCUGCCAAAAUUGGUGCCACCAUAGUACUGCAGACACAAAAAGAACAGUGAGCUUUGUCUAAAAAGAGUGUCAUUUAGCUAAGAAAUGAACUCAGAGAAGACAGCCAAUUAUCUUCCUAUACCAUAUAGUAGUUGACCAUGCUUCCAUUUUUGGAGAAGAAUCGAGCAACUGAGUAUGCCAAAUCUUCAGCUGACCUUUGGGAUGGUGGAUCACCGAAUACUCUAUACCUGAAUCGUGAAAAAAAUCCAUUGAAACAGCCACAAAAUUAGCCUAUAUCUAUACCAACAUAUUCGAAUCUUCUUUAACAUCUUCAUAUAAACUGCACCACUACUUACUGUGCAGUCCAGUUCUCAGUCCACAAUGCCGGCUUGUUGCGCUUAUUUGGACCAUAGAAAGUAUCUCCACAGUGCCUUCCAUUGCAUGUAUUGAUCUGAAGAACCAAGUAUAUUACAUUUCUCACUUUGUUAUGCCAUAAUAAACACGUUUUCCAUCUCAUUUUUUUUUUAUCAAUUAAAAACUUACAACGGGAUCUGGAGCGUCCCUCUGCUUGCACAUGAUCCAUGGGACAUUGGCAUUCAAGCUAAGGGCCAGUUUUCCAGCCCAUUGAACAUAACUAUCCCCUUUUUCCCUGAAUGCUCGUUGAAUAGUGUUGUAUUCAUUCUCGAUCUGUGCUAAAAUAAUAGGUCCUCCUUGUGGAGCAAACAACUUCUCUUGCUUCAGUUUGUCAACAAUCAUGGUCACAAACCUUUUCAUGUGUUUCUACACAAGUUAAAAGUUUGGUUCAGAUUUGAAGCCUUGCAUCAUAUUUUGUGUAUAACUUUGAUGUAUUUAUCCCUCAGAACAUUACCUUGAAAGGUUCAUUAUCGGAUCGGAAAAUGAUGCCGGGGACCUCUCUUAACCAAUAUGGUAAUCCUCUGAUAGUUUCAGUGCGAAAAAGUCAAUAUGGAGGACUCGUAUCAAUUUUAAAGAAGAAUUUGGGAAAGUUUAAAUGGUUACCCGUGAUUCCAUUCAGCUUGGAUAAAAGGGCCGACCCUAACGACUGCAUACAACUUAUGCUCAUGAAUCAACUUGAUGAACUUCACCAAGUCAAAUUCUCCUUCAAAGUUGUACUGUCCCUCAACUGGUUCGUGUCCAUUCCAGAAAACAUACGUUUCAAUCGUAUUGAUGCCUCCCUGCUUAGCUUUUUUAAUCAGGUCCGGCCACAUCUGCAAAAUCCCAGUAGUUGUAAAUAAUCUAAAUCCAUCCAUCCAUCAACCAAAGUAUAUUAUACAGAGAGAAAAGCAAAAGAUGCAUACAUCUGGGGUGCUACGUGGGUAAUGGAUAGCUCCCGAAAAGAGAAGCUCUCGUUUGCCAUUGAUGAUCAAGGACCUUGCGUCAUAUGUCACGCCCUGAGCUUUCUGACCUCCUACCUUACCUUCUUCGUCCCCUUCCUCAGUAUCCUUCUGAAUCUCUUCGACAUUUGCAUUGCUAUAAGCAAUCAACAAUGUCGACAAAAAGAAUAUCAUGAGUAAACGCCGAGGUUCUACCAUUGUUAUAUAUACCAGUAGAAGAACCUUUUAUUCUUUGGGGUUGGAGCGGCGUUGCUACUAUAAGUAAUGAAAGGAGCCUCAAUUUUACGGGUUUAGCUUGGCAAAGAGCAGAAGCUCGAAGAACAACGUAGCAUAAAGUCAAUUAUUUAUAGUGUUGGGAUUACUAGUUUUAACCAUCGAAUGUUUGCUGGUUUUACUAUUUUUUGUUGAGAAAAUUUGCUAUCUUUGGAAGAAAUUGAAUUUUGGCUGUCAUACAUUAUCUAAUCUGUUCCGAUUUUCAACUCAACCAAUUUUUAUUGGUUUUCGUGCAUGUAAAUCUGGCUAUUUACUCGUUCUUUAGUUAAAAAUUUAAAAAGAUGAUUUAUCUUGUGGUGAAAUGUUUGUUAAAUUAAUAUUUUUUAUAAUGAUGAUUAUAAUCUCAUAUGUUAUUAUAAUAUCUAUUAAUAUAAUCUCAUAAAUAUUUGUAUUAUUAUAUUUAUAUUUAAGAUUUGUGUCAUGCAACUUUCAAAAAUUAAAAAUCUCAUAUGCCAUGUUUCUUUUCCUUUUUUUUUGUCAUGUAACUUGUUCUAAAUUCCUUAUUACAUAAUAUUUAUUUUUAAACUCAUUUAUAUAUUAUUACUUUAUAUAUUACCUAUUUUUAUUUUUUAUAUAUUAUUUAUUCUAAACUUAUACAUAUAUUACCUAUUUAUAUAUAUAUAUAAUUUAUUUAUUGAUUUGUAUAUUGUUUAUUUCAAAUUUUUUUUCUCUUAUUAUUCAUUUUCAAAUUCAUUCUUUUUAAAUUUGUUUACAUUUUAUUUUGCCUUAUAUUUUUAUUUUAUUUUAUACUUUUUGUUUUAAAUUCAUUGGUCAUUGAUUAUUGAUGCUAGUAUUUAAAUAAUUGUCAUUAUGUGUUUUAUAAAUUGUUUAUUUAUAUUUUCACAUUGUCAUUUUUUAUCAAAGUUUUUACGCAUCGUUUUAAUAUUGCGUCAAUUUUCUCUAAUUUUAAAAAAGAAAACUUUUAAAAAUAAGGCAAUAUUCGGUACUUUGGAGCUUUGAGAAAAUCGUGCCCUAACUUACUGGGUUUCAAUUUUUUUUGUCCAAAUAACCGAAUAUCCUUUUUAAACUUUAAUGCAUGAGACAAGCUUAGUUUCGAGGGUUAAAAUGUCGUAUCCUAACUUAAUGGAUGUGACAUCUUAUUACUUCGGGACAAUGAGGUCUUAACAUCAAAUUCGAUUUAUUCAGGUUUUUAAAGAGGAUCGUAUUUUAAAAUCUUUUCAAAUUUUCGACAUUAGGACGUUAAUUAAUCAAUUAGGUACCAAUUUUUGGGCGUUACAAGGGUGCUAAUCCUUUCUCGUGCGUAAUUGACUCCCGAGCCCGUUUUCUCGAAUUUUGUAAACCAAAAUCAUUAUUUUAAUAAAUCAAAAUAUUUUAUUAAAAUGAUUAAUCUCAAGGUGACCCGGUCACACCUCAAAAAACGAUUGGUGGCGACUCCAUUUUGUUUUAAAAGUUGACCCCAUUUUUCAAAACAAAAAUGGUUUCGACAACUUGGUAACUCCAUUGGGGACUGUUGACACCAUUUUUUUGGAUGAAAACGGGGUCGACUCGGGUUUUGAAAAAUAAAAUCGAUUGUGGGAGUCGCCACCAAUCCUUUUUGAUAAGGUGUGAUCGGGUCACCUUGAAAAGUGGUUGUUUUUACUAAACGAUUUGAUUUUAUUAAAACAACGAGUUUGGUCUACGAAAUUUAGAAAAAUGGUUUCGGGAGUCGGUUACGUACGAGGAAGGAUUAGCACCCUCGUAACGCCCAAAAUUGGUACCUAGUUGAUUAGUUAAAGUCUUAAUGUCGAAAAUUGAAAGCUUUGAAGAAUUUUAAAAAUACGAUCCUUGUAUUAAAAUGUUGAAAAUUUUGGGAAAACGGGGGGCAUAUUCCACAUUAAUUGAGAAAGAAAGCAUCAUAUGCAGUAAGUUAGGACACAAUGUCUCGAAUUCCCGAUACGUAAAAAUGCUUGUUUAAAAGAUAUUUUUGAAAUCUUAGAUUUAAAAGGGAGAUCACGACCAGUAAGUUAGGACGCGAUUUUCUUUUAAAUCCCGAGAUUAUUUAAAACUUGAGUUUAAAAAAUUUUCGUGCAUUUUGAUUUAUUGUGAAAAUCGAGACCCAGUAAGUUAGGGUACGAUCCUCUCGAAUCUAAUACACGGAAUGUUAUUUAUUCAAAACAAAAUUUGUUAUAUCGAGUGAAAUAAAACGCGGAGUCGUAGUAAAGAAUAUGAAAGCAAAUUACAUUGUUGUUAUGCAUGACAAAACCAUAAUGAAUACAAAAGUAUAAAAAUGAUACGGGCAAUAGCAACAAUAUAAAAUAAAUAAAAGGUCAAACCUACAACAUACAAAAUAACAACGUAUAUAAACGAAUAAAAUCAAGACAUUCAUUCAAAAUAAUAAUGAAAAUGAAAUAAAAAAAAGUGAAUACAAUUAAAAAAAUAAAGGGAUAUAUAUGUAUAGAGAUAUAAAUUAAAAUAUGUAUGCAUGUGUGAAUUAUAAAAUAUAGAAAAUAAAUAUCUACAAAAUAUAUUUUAAAAUAUAAAGAAUAUAUAUGUAUUUAUAUAUAUAAAAAAAUGUACAUAUAUGUGUAAGUAUGUGAAAUUAUGAAAUAUAAAGAAUAUAAACAAAAUGUAUAUUUUUUGGAAGUAUGAAGUAUAUGUAAGUAUAUAUAUGUAUAUGUAUAAUAAAGGUGUAUGAAAGCAUAUUUUUAUACAUAUGUUUAUAAAAAAUGUGUAUAGAUAUAUAGAUGUACAAAUACAUAUAUAUAAGUUAUAAAAUAUAAAAAAAUAUAUUUACACAUAUACGUUUGUGUAUAUAUAUAUAUAAAUAAGCUAUUAUAAAAUAUGGACAAGCAUAAUGCAUAUAUGUACAUAUAUAGAAUAAAAAUAAAGUUGAAAAAAAAUAUAAAACUAAUUAAUACAUUAAUAUAAUAAUAACAAAUAAAUAAAAAGAAAAUAAAACUAAUAAUAAUUAAUAAUAGUGGUAAUAAUAACAAUAAUAAGGUCAGUUAAUAAAAAUACUAAAACACUGACUAAAUCGAAAUAAAAAUGAAAAUACAGGGCUGAUUCGAAAAAUAAAAAGACGAAAAGGAUCAAAUUGCGAGAUGCGUCGAAAGAGGGGGACCAAAAUGGUAAAUAAACCAAGCGUUUAAAACACUGCGCUGCUAUGGAUUAAAAUGAAACAAAAAUAAAAAUUUGUGGCCAAAUUAGAAUAAAAGAAAAUAAUGAAAAAGGGCCAAAUUGCAACGCGCUGCAAAGUCGGAGGGACUACGUGCGCAAAUAUCCCAUUUAAAGAAAACACACUGAUCCUCCCCCUGGGUCGGGUCACUGCGCGGGUCAGAGACCAAAACGACGCCUUUUUUGGUCUCUGAACCCUAAGCUCGAACGACACCAUUUUUGUCUAGGGUAUUUAAACCCCACUUUUUCCCAAAAAUUCAUUACAGCUACCGAAAAAGAAAAAAAUUCAAAAAAAGUCCUCCCUCUUCCUCUUAAACACCUGACCUAUGGGUCAUCUUAGCGCCGCCGUUGCGCCACCAUGGGCGGAGGCCGGCCUCUUGCAAAAAGGGCGUUCAAGUCCCCGUUUUGAGACCCGAUCAAAGGCUAGACUCACCUAGCCCGAAGGCCAAGAGGAGGGGAUUCCCUAACUCGACCUUUCAGGGUCAAUUUCUUCAGCAAGCAAGCUCCGACGACGGCGUAACCAAAAGACGAAAAGGUAAGUCCCUUUUUAUUUAUUUUUAUUGUUUCGCUUAUGAAAUAAAGAGGAAAUAAAGAAAAACAGUAAAAAUGAAAAGAAAAAAAAAUAAAUCUUGAACUGAAAAAUCACCUUGAAAUGUUCUUUUGCUUUUAUUUUCUGAAAAUGUUUGUUCUUUUACAAAAGAGGAACAAAGAAGCCGAACCCCUUUACCGUGGGGAUACUUGGCUUUUAUAGUCUAAAAUUACAUGUGAUUUUGCUAUAUUUUUCUCUGUCUGCUGUUGUGUGCGUGUUGUCUUGCUUGCAGGUGACCGGCGGUGCAAGUGGCGUGGUCGACGUGACCGUGGGCGGCGCGGAUGGGACAUCCGGCGGCGUCAGAAGGCCAAAGGUCAAAGAUGCGAUUGGGGAAAUUGGGCCUGGGCUAAAUUGGGCUUCGGGUUUGGGCUGAUCUGGUUUUGGUUGGGUUUGGGUAGGUUUAGGUGGGUUUGGGCUCGGGAAAAAUGGGCUUGUACAGCUGCCCCUCUUUGCUUUUUGUCGUGUAACGAUAACAGAGCAAAAAGUAAGAAAGACCAAUUUUUGCCCGGUCUCGCCGAGUCUUGACUUCUCUUGACGCUUCUCUUUAAUUAACUUUAUUCCAGUCCACUGUGUCUUGUUGCGUCGAUCCACUCCACUGCACUUCAGAAAGAUACAACCUGUAACUUCAAUCUAUUUUGCUGCAACUUCAGGGGGACGAGAUUCAUAAUUUUAGUCUGUUCCACUGCAACUUCAGGGAGAUAAGACUUGCUAUGAUAGUUUUAAUCCGACCUACUGCAACUUCAGAGGUAUAGGAUUCAUCAUUUUAAUUCGCUCCACUGCAACUUCAGGGAGAUAGGAUUAGCUUCUUCUGUAUACUUCAUUGCAACUUUAGGGAGAUCAGACUGGAUGCGAUCUGCUCUACUGCAACUUCAGAGAGAUAAGGUUUGCCACCUCCAAUCUGUUCAACUGUAAUGUUGGGGAAGUAAGAUUCGCUGUUGUAGCUUCAAUCUAUUAACCGCAAUGUCAGGGAAGCAAGAUUCGCUGUUGUAGCUUCAAUCUGUUCCACUGCACCGCUGGGGAAAUAAGAUUCACCGUUGUGGCCUCAAUCUUUUUGAUUGCAAGUUUCGGGAAAUAAGAUUCGCCGUUCUAGCUUCAAUCUAUUCUACGGUACCUCCUGGGAAGUAAGAUUUGCCAUUGUGGCUUCGAUCUUUUAAAUUGGAAUGUCGGGGAGAGAAGAUUCGCCGUUGUAGCUUCAUUCUAUUCCGGUGCACCGCCUGGGAAGUAAGAUUCGUCGUUGUGGCUUCAAUCUUUUUAAUUACAAUGUCGGGGAAGUAGGAUUCGCCGUUGUAGCUUCAAUCUGUUCCACUGCACCGUCUGGGAAGUAAGAUUCGCCGUUGUGGCUUCAAUCUUUUUAAUUGCAAUGUCGGGGAAGCAUGAUUCACCGUUGUAGCUUCAAUAUGUUCCACUGUACUGCCUGGGAAGUAAGAUUCGCCGUUGUGGCUUCAAUAUUUUUAAUUGCAAUGUCGGGGAAGUAGGAUUCGCCGUUGUAGCUUCAAUCUUUUUAAAAAUUCAUUAUUUUUAAAUUUGUUUACAUUUUAUUUUGCCUUAUAUUUUUUUUAUUUUAUACUCUUUGUUUUAAAUUCAUUGGUCUUUGAUUAUUGAUGCUAGUAUUUAAAUAAUUGUCAUUAUGUGUUUUAUAAAUUGUUUAUUUUUAUUUUCAUAUUGUCAUUUUUUUACCAAAGUUUUUACGCAUCCUUUUAAUAUUGCGUCAAUUUUCCCUAAUUUUAAAAAAGAAAACUUUUAAAAAUAAGGCAAUAUUCGGUACUUUGGAGCUUUGAGAAACUCGUGCCCUAACUUACUGGGUUUUGAUUUUUUUAUUCAAAUAACCGAAUAUCCUUUUUAAACUUUAAUGCAUGAGACAAGCUUAGUUUUGAGGGUUAAAAUGUCUUAUCCUAACUUACUGGAUGUGACAUCUUAUUACUUCGGGACAAUGAGGUCUUAACAUCAAAUUCAAUUUAUUCAGGUUUUUAAAGAGGAUCGAAUUUUAAAAUCUUUUCAAAUUUUCGACAUUAGGACGUUAAUUAAUCAAUUAGGUACCAAUUUUUGGGCGUUACGAGGGUGCUAAUCCUUCCUAGUGCGUAACUGACUCCCGAGCCCGUUUUCUCGAGUUUUGUAAACCAAAAUCAUUAUUUUAAUAAAUCAAAAUAUUUUAUUAAAAUGAUUAAUCUCAAGGUGACCCGAUCACACCUCAAAAAAGAUUGGUGGCGACUCCAUUUCGUUUUAAAAGUCGACACCAUUUUUCAAAAUAAAAAUGUUUCGACAACUUGGAGACUUCAUUGGGGACCAUAAGAGAGUCAUGCCGUAAAAUGAUUAAUUUUUGUCUUUUUUGUCGAAAGUUGAAAUUUUGGUUUUUAACAUAUGAUCCUCUCAUUGCAUUUCAUCUGUUUUGAGUUAUAGUUUUCAUCAUGUUUUGUAUUUUAAAUUUUUAUAUCUCCACACAUUGCAUUGUAUGACUGUUGGUCACACCCUUUUAAGUAGGAGUGAGAAGCUACUCCUUCGUGAGGCUUUCACCUCCGUGCAGGAUAGUGGAUUGCUUCCGAGAUAUAUCCGUACUAUGUCUUCGUGAGAUUUUCAUCUUUGUGCAGCCAUAGGGAAAUGUAUUCCCCUGAAUUGAACUCGAUCCAUAUGAGCCUAUAAUGGGUGAGGAUUAAGGAAUCUGUAGGUUCAGGUACCCUUGCCUUAGAACCGAACCGCAUAUAAAGAGCCCUAAGACCCUACCCUAGGUAAAGCCGCGCCAAACCCUAGUGGUCAGCCAGAUAGGUGUUCUAUUCUGUUGUUUAUUUCUUUUGUACUGACGUAUUUUGUUUUGUUUUGUUUAUGAUUGCUUUGCAUUUUCAUCAUAGAAAAGAGGUGUUGAUUCAAAUUUGAUUGCUAAAUAGAAAAGCUUGUCAUGGAAAAUGAAUUUCUUGAUAAAAUGGAAUAUAAUGCGACUGCCCGAAUAUGGUCUGAUUAAACACAACGAGAGAAGGCUGGAAGUUCGUGGAGGAAUAUACGAAUAUGCUUCGCUGCUUGAAGAUUCAAACUGACAAAGAUUAUUCGAGAGCUGUCACGUCUCAAAGAAACUAAAGAGCAUCGCGGGGUGAGCAAUGGGUCAUGGCUCGGAUCAAACAAAAAGGAGAUAGUAGAGACAGACUUUGGAAAAUUCGCAAGAUUUGAUCCUAGCAUCUGGAUAUGAAGAAAAAGAUCGAUGUCUUCACCUGGAAUAUGAGGGCAAAGCCGCAUAUGUAAUCCGUUUUAUGUAAAGAAAUUUGUUUUCUAGAAAAGUUAUUCUAAUGGAAUUGAAUUCAGAAUUAAUGUCUCUCUUUCUUUUUGCAUUCAUUCCAUGCAUCUGCAUUACAUUGCAUCAGAUGCAUUAGAUAUUCAUAAAAGGACCCUAAUUAGGUAAAAUUAUUUCAGUUAACCUGGGAACCAAAAAAAAAAGUCUAUCAACUAAGCAUCGUUACGGUACUCGCGCAAGAACAAAUGUAAUGGACCAAAGAUUGGAAAAGUUAGAACAUAUUCAAAGAUAAAUGCAAGACCAGUUGCAAAUGCAAAUGCAGGAGCAAUUGACCAAAAUUCAGCAAGAUAUGAGGGACCAGAUGUUAGAGUCCCAAAAGAAUAUGAUGGAUCAAUUGAACCAAUUGUUAACCGGGGGCUAGAAAAAGGGAAAGCCCUAUGGUCAAUUCUGGAGAUGAUGAUGACGAACCUCCGGGUUUCACCCCGAUAAAUGCUCAGACACAACCCGAGGUGUACCCACGAGGACCACCUAUUACGAUCAGGCCUCAAAAAUAUCAGGCAGAUACCUCUGUACCAAUAAUGUAAUAGCCCAAUUUUGACCCUAAUCGGACAUAGUGGUUUCGGGACUACAAGUCCGAGACAAAAAAAAUAUUUUAAUAUUAUUUUGUGUGUUUAUUUUGUGUGCAUUUGAUUGUGUGAAAUUUUCGUGUUUUAAUUUUGUUGUUUGAGUGUCGAUUAAAUAAAAGGAUUAAAUCGCAUAAAAUGAAAAUUUAGGGGUUAAUUAUAAAAGCACCGAAUUGUUGUUGUCUUUUUAAAUGGAAGGAUUUAUGAUGAAAUAAGACCAUAAAGUAGAUAGUGGGUGAUAUAUGACAUAAUUGACCUUAAUAUAUAUGUUAUAAAAAUUUAUUAUAAUAAGGUAAAUUUAGUCAAAUGUUAAAUUAAACAUUAAAAUUAAAAUAAUUGAUGAAAAGAUGAAUGUUUUCAUCUUAACUUAGCCGAAUUCACGCAAAAGAAAAAAAGAAAGGAAGUCAAGUAAUAUUCGGCCAUUUUAAAGCUUGAUUAAUGUUAGUUCUUUGUUCGGUUUUUGAUAAUUUUUACGUUUUUGAGAUCGUUGCUUCGAAUACUAUUCGACCCAUGUUUAAAUUUUUGAUUUUGAUGAAUAUUUUGAGUUGUUCCAUUGAUGAAAAUUUGUGUUAUGUGAUAUUUGAUGAUGAAUAAUGAAAGAUAUAUAUUAGAUUAAUAUGUUUUGUAUUGGAAUUUUUAGUGAAAUUGAGUAAAUAGGGCUAAAUUGUGAAAUUAAAUUUUUGGGGGACUAAAGUGUGAAAUAAAUGCAAUGUGUGGACUUGUAUGAGAACCAUGAAUAUUCGGCCCUUGUGUGGUAUGGGCAAAUUUUGUAUAAAUUGUGUUUUAUGCAAUAGGGACUAAAUUGCAAAAAGUGUAAAUAUUAGGGGUAAAAUAGUAAUUUGCCAAAUUAUGUGUUUUUGGAUUAAAUUGAAUGUGUUAAUAAAUAAAUUAUCUUAUUUUGAAUAUAUUUAGAUCGAGAACCAAAGAAAUUGGAGUUAGAUCGGGGAAAAGCCAAAUUAGUCGAAUAAUCGUCCGACUUCGAUUUUCCAUCGUCCGAGGUAAGUCUAUUAGCUAUUUAAUGUCAUAAAAAUAAUACAUAAGUAUGUAUAUGUAUUUAUUUUUGAUGAAUUAUAAUUUAAAGUAUAUCGGUUGAAUAAAUUAAAAGUAUGAUUGGUUUAUAUGUAUUUUCUUUAAUAUUCGAACCUAGAGGUUUAUACUUAUAUAGGUAAUUGAAUUUAGUUAAAGUGCAAAGGUAAAUAAGUAUAUACAUAAAUUUUAAUGAACUUAGUUGAAGUAUAAGAGUUUUAUAUAUAUACAGGGUUCAUAUUCAUACACGUAUAUACAUAUAUAAAUUAUUGAUUUAAGCAAAUAUAUGUAUAUGUAUAUAUGUGUACUUAGGGAUUCGUAAAUAUACAUAGAUAUAAGAGUUUUAUUAUUAAACAUGUAAAUAUACAUGUAUAUAUACACUUUUGAAUCGAAUUAAGAUGUGUCAUUAUAAAAGUAUAUGCGGUUUGAGUGUAUAUGUAUGCAUGUAUAAGAUUUAGUUUUGAAAUUUGUUAUUAGAUGAUAUUUGCAUAUGUUAGUUUUGAUCAUGUAUAUAUAUGUGUGUAUAAUUUUAAUAUGUUGGAAUGUAAAGUGUAUAUUAUUCAAGAAUACUUUUAGUUAAAUAGUAUUAUAUUUGUAGUAGGAUUUGAAGUAUAAGGUUAUGUAUAAAUAUGUUCAGUUGAUUUAUUGAAUUGUCAAAUUGGAUUUGGUGGUUGAGUUUUAUAUAUAUAUUCAUGUGUUUCUAUGAUAUAAAUUUUGAGUUUUGAGCUGAAUAUUUAAGCAUGGAAUUUAUAUACCUAUAUAGUUCGAAAAUGAGUAAUAUUUGGGUGAAUUGAGUGUUUGAGCUUAGGGCCUAAAAUGAUUAUUGUCAAUGAGAUAAUUCAGACUUUACAUCUAGCAGGCUUGAUACCGGUGAAAUGUUUCAGACUUUACGUCUAGUAGGCUUGACGCCGGUGAAAUAUUUCGGACUUUACGUCUAGCAGGCUAAUUGCCAGUGUAUUGAAUCAGGUUUUAAGCCUAGCAGGCUAAGUGCCGGUGAAUCUGUUGAAAUUGUGUGAAUUGUUCAGAUUUAUGUGUUUGAAGAUGUUGUGCAUAAACUCGACAUAGGUGGUUGAUAUAUAUAUAUUUAUAUGGGUGCAUUUGGUAUAAAAAACUGAUGAGUAAUCUUGUGUGCAAUUGCUAAUACAUAUAUGUGUAAAUAUUUGUUUAUAAGUAAAAGUUGAAUGUGAAUGUAUUCCGUUAUAGGCAUAAAUAUGAGUUAGGUUAAAAGUUUAUGAUCGAUAUAUAUAUACAUGUAUAAUGAGAUAUGAAAUGUGAUUGAUAAAGUUAUAUAUAUUCGAUUGUAUUUGCAUGAUAAGUACAUAUAUGACUUUGGAUAAAUGUAUGUGGUAAAUACAUGUACACAUUUGGUUAUAAUAUUUGUUAAGCUUAUGUAUAUAUGCACUCGGCUAAUAUGUUUAAAGUGUAUAUACAUUUGGUUCUAAUAUUUGUCAUGCAUAUAUGUAUAUAUGCAUUUGGCGAUUCAUGGUUGUAGACUAUAUGCAUAAAAUGUAUAUACAUUUGUCUGUUUAUGUGUAUUAGAUAAAUAUACAUCUUUUUAGAUUUAAACAAAAUGACUCAAUAUAGCAAUGUUUGAUUAGUAAUCAUAUUUGAUAUUUGUGAUUUCAAUAAAUUUACUUAAAGAAUUAUAUGAUUCUUUUAUAUGUAUUUUAGAUAUGCUAUAGACUUACUAAGCUAUAAAAGCUUACUUUGAUUGUUUUUUUCCAUCUGUUUUUUUUAUAGAUUUGAAAGACGCGUUAUGAGCUUGGGGAUCAUCAGCAUAGUCUAUCACACUAUCGACUUCUUUUGGUAUUUUGUUAAAUAUUUGAACUCGAUCUUAUGGCAUGUAUAGGUUUGAGUACGAUGUUGGUUAGAUUUUGAUUGUAAAUUAUAAAUAGCUAUGCGAAAAAGAUUUAAUUUUCAUGUUUGUGAUCAGUUUGGUUUUAAAAAUGGUUGUGUUUGUUCGGUAAUGCCUAGUAACCCUAAUUCAGUGAUGGAUACGGGUUAGGGGUGUUACAUUUUAUUGGUAUAAGAGCUACGGUUUAGUCGAUUCUCGGACUAACGUAGUGUGUAUGAGUCUAGCUAUACAUGCCAUAAUUUUUAUACUGAGAUUGUGUGAUGACUGCUGACAUCUAAAAAUGUGUUUUCCUAUAGUAAUGGAUCCCGAAUGAGCCAUAGCCGAUGAUGUUGAGAGUAUAGCGCCUGCUCCCGCGCAAGGGAUAGAGCCAGUAGAUUCUCGACCAAUCUCGAGUAACCAGGAGGGAGAGGCUAAACAAGCCUUUUACCAAAUGAUGAAUGACUGGUUUACUCAAUAUGUCCGAACUAAUCUGGUUGUACAACGACCCCCACCCCCGACUAAUCCAUCUUCGGUUCCUGUUAUACCUCAAGUAAGUGAUCCGAUGAGAUUACUUAAACCUCCUGUUGAUAAAAUUCGAAAACACGGGGCUGAAGAGUUCAGAGCUACUGAUGAUGAUGAUGCUGAGCGAGCUGAAUUCUGGCUUGAUAAUACCAUUCGAGUGUUUGCUGAGUUAUCUUGCACCCCUGAUGAGUGCUUGAAAUGUGCCAUAUCCUUGCUACGGGACACUGCAUAUCACUGGUGGAAUACACUAGUAUCGAUGGUUCCGAAAGAGCGAGUGACCUGGGAAUUCUUUCAGACUGAGUUCCGUAAGAAAUACAUCAGCCAGAGAUUCAUUGAUCAGAAACGUAAGGAAUUUCUUGAAUUGAAACAGGGUCGGAUGACAGUGACAGAAUAUGAGCGGAAAUUUGUGAGACUCAGUAGAUAUGCUCGAGAGUGUGUUUCGACUGAAGCUAUUAUGUGUAAAAGAUUUGAAGAUGGGCUGAAUGAAGAUAUUAAACUGUUAGUGGGCAUACUUGAGAUAAAGGAGUUCGUAGUACUUGUUGAACGAGCUUGUAAAGCUGAGGAGCUCGGAAAAGAGAAGAGGAAAGCUGACUAUGAAGCUCAAGAUUCCCGUAAACGAUCAUUUAGUAAAUCGUUUCAGUCGACCUCAAGGAAAUCCAGAGAGGAUCAUAGCCGAUCUAAAGCUACUACACGGUUUCCUAAGUAUGAUCGAGAUCGACCCCUUGUGAGUUCACGGGCUACUUCAGUUGCUAGCGUUGGUAGUGUUCGACAAAAUAGAUCAGAGUGCAAGCAUUGUGGGAAAUGGCAUCCUGGAGAUUGUAGAUUACAUGAUCGGUCUUGCUUCAAGUGUGGUUCAAAGGAUCAUUUCAUUCGAGAGUGUCCGAUGGUAGCUGAUCAAAAUACUGUACAGAAUACUAGACCGAGUAAUGUGUCAAUACGGGGUAGACCGCCUAGGCAUUUGGGUAAUGCAAGUGGUAGUCAGAGAGGGACAAAGGACACAGCAGUUCGAUCUGAGGCUCAUGCACCUGCCAGAGCAUAUGCUAUUCGAGCUCGAGAGGAGGCAUAUUCUCCAGAUGUUAUUACUGGUACUUUCACUCUUUAUGAUACUAAUAUUAUUGCAUUGAUUGAUCCUGGUUCGACUCAUUCUUAUGUGUGUGAGACUUUAGUAUUCAGUAAGACUUUGCCUGUUGAGUCUACAGAGUUUGUAAUUAAAGUAUCGAACCCCCUAGGCCGGUGUGUUUUGGUUGACAAAGUGUGCAAGAAUUGUCCGUUGAUGAUUCGAGAUUUAUUUUUUCCGGCUGAUUUGAUGUUGUUACCAUUCGACGAGUUUGAUAUAAUUCUGGGUAUGGAUUGGUUAACUCUGCAUGAUGCUAUAGUAAACUUCAAACGGAAAAUUAUUGAUCUACGGUGUCAGAAUGAUGAGAUUAUUCGGAUUGAAUCUAAUGAUCUGAAUGGUUUACCAGCAAUAAUAUCCUUGAUGUCGGCUCAGAAUUAUGUGAGAAAAGGUUGUGAAGCUUAUCUUGCAUUUGUUCUUGAUAGUAAAGUGACCGAAAAGAAUAUUGAAUCUGUGCCAGUAGUGUGUGAGUAUUCAGACUUGUUUCCCGAAGAAUUACUAGGUUUGCCACCUAUUCGAGAGGUAGAGUUUGGUAUUGAGUUAGUACCAGGGACGACUCUAAUUUCGAUAGCUCCAUACCGUAUGGCACCGACCGAAUUAAAAGAAUUGAAAGUACAGUUGCAAGAGUUGACUGAUAAAGGUUUUGCACGACCGAGUUUCUCUCCUUGGGGUGCACCAGUUCUAUUUGUGAGAAAGAAAGACGGAACGAUGAGAAUGUGCAUUGAUUACCGGUAACUCAAUAAGGUGACUAUAAAGAAUAAAUAUCCGUUACCACGGAUUGAUGAUUUGUUCGAUCAGUUGAAAGGGGCUGCUGUGUUUUCGAAGAUAGAUUUGAGAUCAGGCUACUAUCAGUUGCGAGUUAAAGACUCUGAUGUGCCAAAGACUGCUUUCCGAACGAGGUACGGACAUUAUGAGUUCUUGGUUAUGCCUUUCGGACAUACUAAUGCACCUACUAUUUUCAUGGAUUUGAUGAAUCGGAUCUUUAGAAAGUAUCUGGAUCGGUUUGUGGUAGUAUUUAUUGAUGACAUUUUGAUCUACUCUAGUGACGAAAAUGAGCAUGCCGAACAUCUGAGACUUGUGUUACAAACUUUGCGAGAGAAGCAGUUGUAUGCAAAGUUUAGUAAAUGUGAGUUCUGGUUACGUGAAGUCAGUUUUCUGGGCCAUGUUGUAUCAGCAUCGGGUAUUCGGGUUGAUCUGAGGAAAAUUUUAGCUAUACUUGAUUGGAAACCUCCGAGGAAUGUUUCGGAAGUUCGAAGCUUUUUGGGGCUCGCUGGUUAUUAUAGACGGUUCGUGAAAAGGUUCUCUGUGAUUGCGACCCUGAUGACAAAUUUACUACAAAAAGACGUUAAGUUCGAGUGGUCAGAAAAGUUUUGAUCAAUUGAAAGUUCUUUUGACCGAAGCUCCAGUCUUAGUUCAGCCAGAAUCGGGUAAAGAGUUUGUUAUUUAUAGUGAUGCAUCCUUAAAUGGUUUGGGCUGUGUUUUGAUGCAGGAAGGCAAAGUUGUAGCCUAUGCCUCGAGACAGUUCAAGUCGCACGAAAAGAAUUACCCGACUCACGAUCUGGAAUUGGCCGCUAUUGUAUUUGCGUUGAAAAUAUGGUGCCACUAUCUGUUUGGAGAAAAAUGUCAUGUUUAUUCCGAUCACAAAAGCCUGAAAUAUUUGAUGACUCAGAAAGAUUUGAAUUUGAGACAGCGUCGAUGGUUAGAAUUGCUAAAAGAUUACGAGCUUGUGAUUGACUAUCAUCCGGGAAAGGCUAAUGUUGUUGCUGAUGCCCUAAGUCGAAAAUCACUGUUUGCUUUGCGUGCAAUGAACGCGCAUAUGACUAUGUCUGAUGAUGGUGCGAUAGUAGCUGAGUUGAAAGCAAAACCGUUAUUUGUUCAACAGAUUUGUGAAGCUCAGAAAGUCGAUGAUGAUUUAAUUGCAAAACGAGCUCAGUGUGACUUAAUGUUGAUUCAGAGUUUCUAGUUGAUGCUGAGAAGUGUUUGAGAUUCAGAAACUGAUUAUGUGUUCCGAAAAAUCUGGAGUUAAUUCAGAUGAUUUUGAAUGAAGCCCAUAAUAGUAGAUUUUCUGUUCAUCCGGGUAGCACAAAAAUGUAUAACGAUCUGAAACAGCAUUAUUGGUGGCAUGGUAUGAAACGAGACAUUUCUGAAUUUGUUUCGAAAUGUUUAAUAUGUCAGCAAGUAAAAGCCGAGCAUCAGGUACCUUCUGGAUUGCUUCAGCCGAUCAUGAUACCUGAAUGGAAAUGGGAUCGAAUUACGAUGGAUUUUGUAUCCGGUUUACCGUUGACAUCGAGCAAGAAAGAUGCAAUUUGGGUUAUUGUUGAUAGGUUGACAAAAUCGGCACACUUUAUUCCGAUUCGCACGGAUUUUCCACUCGAUAAACUUGCUGAAUUGUAUGUUUCUCAAAUUGUGAGAUUGCAUGGUGUGCCUAUUUCUAUUGUUUCAAACAGAGAUCUGAGAUUCACAUUGCGAUUUUGGAAGAAACUACAAGAUGCUUUAGGUACGAAACUGCAUUUUAGCACAGCUUUCCAUCCGUAGACAGAUGGUCAAUCCGAACGAAUCAUUCAGAUACUUGAGGAUAUGUUGAGAUGUUGCAUUCUCGAGUUUGAAGGCACGUGGGAACGAUACUUACCUUUGAUUGAAUUUGCUUAUAAAAAUAGCUUUCAAUCUAGUAUCAAAAUGGCACCUUACGAGGCUUUGUACGGUCGUAAAUGUCGUACACCGUUGUAUUGGACCGAGCUUGGUGAAAAUAAGAUACACGGAGUUGAUUUGAUUAAAGAGACUGAACAGAAAGUGAAAGUGAUCCGAGAUAAUCUGAAAUCAGCAUCGGAUCGUCAGAAAUCUUAUGCGGAUUUGAAAAGAAAGGAUAUAGAAUUUCAGAUCGGGGAUAAAGUGUUUUUGAAAGUCUCACCGUGGAAGAAAAUACUCAGAUUCGGUCGUAAAGGCAAAUUGAGUCCGAGAUUCAUUGGACCGUAUGAGAUUAUAGAGCGAGUUGGACUAGUUGCUUAUAGAUUGAUGUUACCGCCUGAGUUAGAAAAGAUUCAUAACGUAUUCCAUGUUUCGAUGCUCCGUAGAUACCGAUCUGAUCCUUCACAUGUGAUUAGUCCGACGGAGAUUGAAAUUAACUCUGAUAUGUCAUAUGAAGAAGAACCGAUUAGCAUUCUGGCUCGUGAGAUCAAAGAAUUACGAAAUAAGAAAAUUCCGUUAGUUAAAGUAUUGUGGCAUAAACACGGAGUUGAAGAAGCAACUUGGGAGUCAGAAGAUACAAUGAAAGAGCGUUAUCCAAACCUAUUCACCGGUAAGAUUUUCGAGGACGAAAAUCCCUGAGGGGGGAGAGUUGUAACAGCCCAAUUUCGACCCUAAUCGGACAUAGUGGUUUCGGGACCACAAGUCCGAGACAAAAAAAUAUUUUAAUAUUAUUUUGUGUGUUUAUUUUGUGUGCAUUUGAUUGUGUGAAAUUUUCGUGUUUUAAUUUUGUUGUUUGAGUGUCCGAUUAAAUAAAAGGAUUAAAUCGCAUAAAAUGAAAAUUUAGGGGUUAAUUAUAAAAGUAUCUAAUUGUUGUUGUCUUUUUAAAUGGAAGGAUUUAUGAUGCAAUAAGACCAUAAAGUAGAUAGUGGGUGAUAUAUGACAUAAUUGACCUUAAUAUAUAUGUUAUAAAAAUUUAUUAUAAUAAGGUUAAUUUAGUCAAAUGUUAAAUUAAACAUUAAAAUUAAAAUAAUUGAUGAAAAGAUGAAUGUUUUCAUCUUAACUUAGCCGAAUUCAUGCAAAAGAAAAAAAGAAAGGAAGUCAAGUAAUAUUCGGUCAUUUUAAAGCUUGAUUAAUGUUAGUUCUUUGUUCGGUUUUUGAUAAUUUUUACGUUUUGAGAUCGUUGCUUCGAAUACUAUCCGACCCAUGUUUAAAUUUUUGAUUUUGAUGAAUAUUUUGAGUUUUUCCAUUGAUGAAAAUUUGUGUUAUGUGAUAUUUGAUGAUGAAUAAUGAAAGAUAUAUAUUAGAUUAAUAUGUUUUGUAUUGGAAUUUUUAGUGAAAUUGAGUAAAUAUGGCUAAAUUGUGAAAUUAAAUUUUUGGGGGACUAAAGUGUGAAAUAAAUGCAAUGUGUGGACUUGUAUGAGAACCAUGAAUAUUCGGCCCUUGUGUGGUAUGGGCAAAUUUUGUAUAAAUUGUGUUUUAUGCAAUAGGGACUAAAUUGCAAAAAGUGUAAAUAUUAGGGGCAAAAUAGUAAUUUGCCAAAUUAUGUGUUUUUGGAUUAAAUUGAAUGUGUUAAUAAAUAAAUUAUCUUAUUUUGAAUAUAUUUAGAUCGAGAACCAAAGAAAUUGGAGUUAGAUCGGGGAAAAGCCAAAUUAGUCGAAUAAUCGUCCGACUUCGAUUUUCCAUCGUCCGAGGUAAGUCUAUUAGCUAUUUAAUGUCAAAAAAAUAAUACAUAAGUAUGUAUAUGUAUUUAUUUUUGAUGAAUUAUAAUUUAAAGUAUAUCGGUUGAAUAAAUUAAAAGUAUGAUUGGUUUAUAUGUAUUUUCUUUAAUAUGCGAACCUAGAGGUUUAUACUUAUAUAGGUAAUUGAAUUUAGUUAAAGUGCAAAGGUAAAUAAGUAUAUACAUAAAUGUUAAUGAACUUAGUUGAAGUAUAAGAGUUUUAUAUAUAUACAGGGUUCGUAUUCAUACACGUAUAUACAUAUAUAAAUUAUUGAUUUAAUCAAAUAUAUGUAUAUGUAUAUAUGUGUACUUAGGGAUUCGUAAAUAUACAUAGAUAUAAGAGUUUUAUUAUUAAACAUGUAAAUAUACAUGUAUAUAUACACUUUUGAAUCGAAUUAAGAUGUGUCAUUAUAAAAGUAUAUGCGGUUUGAGUGUAUAUGUAUGCAUGUAUAAGAUUUAGUUUUGAAAUUUGUUAUUAGAUGAUAUUUGCAUAUGUUAGUUUUGAUCAUGUAUAUAUAUGUGUGUAUAAUUUUAAUAUGUUGGAAUGUAAAGUGUAUAUUAUUCAAGAAUAUUUUUAGUUAAAUAGUAUUAUAUUUGUAGUAGGAUUUGAAGUAUAAGGUUAUGCAUAAAUAUGUUCAGUUAAUUUAUUGAAUUGUCAAAUUGGAUUUGGUGGUUGAGUUUUAUAUAUAUAUUCAUGUGUUUCUAUGAUAUAAAUUUUGAGUUUUGAGCUGAAUAUUUAAGCAUGGAAUUUAUAUACCUAUAUAGUUCGAAAAUGAGUAAUAUUUGGGUGAAUUGAGUUUUUGAGCUUGGGGCCUAAAAUGAUUAUUGUCAAUGAGAUAAUUCAGACUUUACAUCUAGCAGGCUUGACGCCGGUGAAAUGUUUCAGACUUUACGUCUAGUAGGCUUGACGCCGGUGAAAUAUUUCGGACUUUACGUCUAGCAGGCUAAUUGCCAGUGUAUUGAAUCAGGUUUCAAGCCUAGCAGGCUAAGUGCCGGUGAAUCUGUUGAAAUUGUGUGAAUUGUUCAGAUUUAUGUGUUUGAAGAUGUUGUGCAUAAACUCGACAUAGGUGGUUGAUAUAUAUAUAUUUAUAUGGGUGCAUUUGGUAUAAAAAACUGAUGAGUAAUCUUGUGUGCAAUUGCUAAUACAUAUAUGUGUAAAUAUUUGUUUAUAAGUAAAAGUUGAAUGUGAAUGUAUUCCGUUAUAGGCAUAAAUAUGAGUUAGGUUAAAAGUUUAUGAUCGAUAUAUAUAUACAUGUAUAAUGAGAUAUGAAAUGUGAUUGAUAAAGUUAUAUAUAUAUUCGAUUGUAUUUGCAUGAUAAGUACAUAUAUGACUUUGGAUAAAUGUAUGUGGUAAAUACAUGUACACAUUUGGUUAUAAUAUUUGUUAAGCUUAUGUAUAUAUGCACUCGGCUAAUAUGUUUAAAGUGUAUAUACAUUUGGUUCUAAUAUUUGUCAUGCAUAUAUGUAUAUAUGCAUUCGGCGAUUCAUGGUUGUAGACUAUAUGCAUAAAAUGUAUAUACAUUUGUCUGUUUAUGUGUAUUAGAUAAAUAUACAUCUUUUUAGAUUUAAACAAAAUGACUCAAUAUAGCAAUGUUUGAUUAGUAAUCAUAUUUGAUAUUUGUGAUUUCAAUAAAUUUACUUAAAGAAUUAUAUGAUUCUUUUAUAUGUAUUUUAGAUAUGCUAUAGACUUACUAAGCUAUAAAAGCUUACUUUGAUUGUUUUUGUCCAUUUGUUUUUUUUAUAGAUUUCGGAGACGCGUUACGAGCUCGGGGAUCAUCAGCAUAGUCUAUCACACUAUCGACUUCUUUUGGUAUUUUGUUAAAUAUUUGAACUCGAUCUUAUGGCAUGUAUAGGUUUGAGUACGAUGUUGGUUAGAUUUUGAUUGUAAAUUAUAAAUAGCUAUGCGAAAAAGAUUUAAUUUUCAUGUUUGUGAUCAGUUUGGUUUUAAAAAUGGUUGUGUUUGUUCGGUAAUGCCUAGUAACCCUAAUUCGACGACGGAUAUGGGUUAGGGGUGUUACAAAUAAACUACUCGAUAUGCUCAGUUUCUAAUUCGGGGAAUAAUCCAACUAAUCUCGUUGUCCCUAAUCUCGAUGAGGUGGCAGAAAUGGUACGCGCGAUCGUCUUUUAGCUUUAAGGUUGAUUUGGGGUGUUCAGGUCAGCACCUAACACGUUUACAUACUGAAAAAUCAGUAGCCAAUAUUGAUUAAAAUCCUUCAUUUAAUCAAUCCAUAACCUUUACCCAACAAAAAUGUCGAAACAACAAACCAGUUUACAUGUAAUUGCAUUUACGCUUCCCGAUUUGUGAGAUCUAAAUGGUCAAUUGAUCAAGAACAUUUUUCUAUAAUUGACAUGUGAUUAAAGGCUGAUUAGGAGGAUUCAAGAACUCAAAUUAAUGCUGGAAAUAGAUGGGCUGGGACCAAGAAAUAAAACAACUCCCUUUCUUGCACAUAGGCGCACGUACCACCACCCAUGGUGGCCAGAUUCGGGGCUAAUUUAAAAACAAUUUAAAGAUCCAUUAAAAAUUUGAACAAAUAACUUUAAAAUAUUUAAAAUUCCCAUAAAUUCUAGAUCUAGAAAUUUAUGUUUUUAAUUGACAAGAUUAAUCCCAUAAACUACCCGAUAUGCUCAGUUUCUAAUCCGGGGAAUAAUCCAACUAAUCUCGUUCAGAAAUGGUACGCGCGAACAUCUUUUAGCUUUACGGUUGAUUAGGGGCGUUCGGGUCAUCACCUAACACGUUUACAUACUAAAAAUCAGUAGCCAAUAUUGAUUAAAAUCCUUCAUUCGAAAAAAUAAAUAGUUCAAGCACUCCUCCAUGCACCGUCUUAGCUCAAUUAAAAAAAAUAAAAUGUGAAGCUUAACCCAAGCUGUGUCGAAGCACGCAUUUGUUUAGGCACAUUUGACUUGGACGGCCAAAGUCUUCCUGAGAUGGGUACAUGCGCCAUUUUGGUCACUGAAAUGAAUGCUAUCUAGUGGGAUUUGGCAGCUGGGCU